AACGAACGCUGGCGGCAGGCUUAACACAUGCAAGUCGAACGGAUGUAGCAAUACAUCAGUGGCAGACGGGUGAGUAACACGUGGGAACCUUCCUCGUUGUACGGGACAACUCAGGGAAACUUGAGCUAAUACCGUAUACGUCCGAGAGGAGAAAGAUUUAUCGCAAUGAGACGGGCCCGCGUCGGAUUAGCUAGUUGGUGGGGUAACGGCCUACCAAGGCGACGAUCCGUAGCUGANCUGAGAGGAUGAUCAGCCACACUGGGACUGAGACACGGCCCAGACUCCUACGGGAGGCAGCAGUGGGAAUCUUGGACAAUGGCGCAAGCCUGAUCCAGCCAUGCCGCGUGAGUGAAGAAGGCCUUAGGGUUGUAAAGCUCUUUUGCC
rnacentral:rRNA from 1 species